AUACGGAGGGAGCAAGCGUUAUUCGGAAUCACUGGGCGUAAAGGACGCGUAGGCGGGUUUGUAAGUCAGGUGUGAAAUCCUACAGCUCAACUGUAGAACUGCACUUGAAACUACAGACCUAGAGUAUGGAAGGGGCUGAUGGAAUUAGUGGUGUAGGGGUAAAAUCCGUAGAUAUCACUAGGAAUACCGAAAGCGAAGGCGAUCUGCUGGGACAUUACUGACGCUGAGGCGUGAAAGCGUGGGGAGCAAACAGGUUUAGAAACCCUAGUAGUCC
rnacentral:rRNA from 1 species